rnacentral:rRNA from 1 species
UACAGAGGGUGCAAGCGUUGCUCGGAUUUACUGGGCGUAAAGCGUACGCAGACGGUCCAGCAAGUUGGGAGUGAAAGCCCCGGGCUCAACCCGGGAACUGCUUUCAAUACUACUGGUCUUGAGUUUGGGAGAGGGAAGCGGAAUUCCUGGUGUAGAGGUGAAAUUCGUAGAUAUCAGGAGGAACACCAGCGGCGAAGGCGGCUUCCUGGCCCAAUACUGACGUUCAGGUACGAAAGCGUGGGUAGCAAACAGG